rnacentral:rRNA from 1 species
CCUACGGGAGGCAGCAGUGAGGAAUAUUGGUCAAUGGACGCAAGUCUGAACCAGCCAUGCCGCGUGCAGGAAGACGGCUCUAUGAGUUGUAAACUGCUUUUGUACGAGGGUAAAUCCCGAUACGUGUAUCGGGGUGAAAGUAUCGUACGAAUAAGGAUCGGCUAACUCCGUGCCCGCAGCCGCGGUAAUACGGAGGAUUCAAGCGUUAUCCGGAUUUAUUGGGUUUAAAGGGUGCGUAGGCGGUUCGAUAAGUUAGAGGUGAAAUCCCGGGGCUCAACUCCGGCACUGCCUCUGAUACUGUCGGGCUAGAGUUUAGUUGCGGUAGGCGGAAUGUAUGGUGUAGCGGGGAAAUGCAUAGAGAUCAUACAGAACACCGAUUGCGAAGGCAGCUUACCAAACUACGACUGACGUUGAGGCACGAAAGCGUGGGGAGCAAACAGGAUUAGAUACCCCGGUAGUC